CAUUCUCCUCACAGGAGAUGAAGCCGGGAUCACUGCCUUGUGGCCCUUUUUGAUAACCCCACCUUCAAUGGCCAGUUCGUCUCAGACAGAAAAGUAAGGCCAAACAGCAAGCGGAAGCGAAUGCUGAUUGCUAGGCCAUCCAUGAUUGAUGACUGAGGCGAGCAUCUGCAGGGUGGCAUCUUCUGUCGUGCAAACAACCAAAGUAUCCAGAUGUGAAGGAUGAGUGAAAUCAAUUGC